rnacentral:rRNA from 1 species
AACGAACGCUGGCGGCAGGCCUAACACAUGCAAGUCGAACGCCCCGCAAGGGGAGUGGCAGACGGGUGAGUAACACGUGGGAACCUUCCCUAUAGUACGGAAUAGCCCAGGGAAACUUGGAGUAAUACCGUAUACGCCCGAAAGGGGAAAGAAUUUCGCUAUAGGAUGGGCCCGCGUAGGAUUAGCUAGUUGGUGAGGUAAUGGCUCACCAAGGCGACGAUCCUUAGCUGGUUUGAGAGAACGACCAGCCACACUGGGACUGAGACACGGCCCAGACUCCUACGGGAGGCAGCAGUGGGGAAUAUUGGACAAUGGGCGCAAGCCUGAUCCAGCCAUGCCGCGUGAGUGAUGAAGGCCUUAGGGUUAUAAAGCUCUUUUGGCGGGGACGAUAAUGACGGUACCCGCAGAAUAAGUCCCGGCUAACUUCGUG